AGAUCACUUCAAAGAGGGCUGAUGGGAACAAACCCUGGAGCUCUUAACGCUGUGACCAAAGACUGAGUUCUCCACAGGAUGUAACAGCCACUCAGUAAGUGCUAUGUUUUCCUGAUGGAGAUACAAGA